CACACACUCACACCCCACCCCCUAGUCUGGCUGGGAAUUUGAACCGAUCCAGCCUGUUUAAACGGAAAGGACACAGAUCUUCAAUGUAAAAAAAAAAUCAGAUCAGACCCAGAGAGAGAGAGAGAGAGAGACAGAGAGGGAGGAGUGUGUGUGUGUGUGAGUGUGUGUGUGUGUGUGUGUGAAAGAGGGAGAGGGAGCGAGAGAGCGAGAGAGAGGGAGAGAGAGGGAGAGAGAGAGGGAGGGAGAGAGAAAAGAAGAGGGGGAAAAAAAGGAAAGAAGAUUUUCUCUAUGUAUAUAAAGAUGGCCACGUUAGCAAACGGACAACCAGACAAUACCAGCCUGAGUAGCAAUCACAGCAACCCCAGCACCAACGGGCAUAUGAACGGAUUAAACCAUAGUCCCGGAAACCCAUCCACCAUCCCAAUGAAGGACCACGAUGCCAUUAAGCUCUUUAUUGGGCAGAUCCCCCGUAACCUGGACGAGAAAGACCUCAAACCGCUCUUCGAGGAGUUCGGGAAGAUCUAUGAACUGACGGUGCUGAAGGACAGGUUCACUGGCAUGCACAAAGGCUGUGCCUUCCUAACAUACUGCGAAAGGGAGUCUGCUCUAAAGGCCCAGAGCGCACUGCAUGAACAGAAGACACUGCCGGGGAUGAACAGACCGAUCCAGGUGAAACCAGCGGACAGCGAAAGCCGAGGAGAAGACAGAAAACUCUUUGUGGGCAUGCUCAAUAAGCAGCAGUCGGAAGACGAUGUGCGCAGGCUAUUCGAGGCGUUUGGCAACAUCGAGGAGUGUACGAUCCUUCGGGGACCCGAUGGCAACAGCAAAGGGUGUGCAUUUGUGAAAUACUCUUCACAUGCAGAGGCCCAAGCUGCCAUCAAUGCCUUGCAUGGCAGCCAGACAAUGCCGGGAGCCUCUUCAAGCCUGGUGGUGAAGUUUGCGGACACGGACAAGGAGCGUACAAUGAGGCGCAUGCAGCAAAUGGCAGGACAAAUGGGCAUGUUCAACCCCAUGGCCAUCCAGUUUGGGGCUUAUGGCGCCUAUGCACAGGCACUGAUGCAGCAGCAGGCCGCGAUCAUGGCCUCGGUGGCGCAGGGCGGAUACCUGAACCCCAUGGCAGCCUUUGCCGCGGCCCAGAUGCAGCAGAUGGCAGCUCUGAACAUGAACGGCCUGGCAGCCGCCCCCAUGACACCAACCUCAGGUGGAAGCACGCCUCCUGGCAUAACUGCACCAGCUGUGCCUAGCAUCCCAUCUCCAAUUGGGGUGAAUGGUUUCACUGGCCUCCCGCCGCAGGCUAAUGGGCAGCCAGCUGCAGAAGCCGUGUUUGCUAAUGGCAUUCACCCUUAUCCAGGUGUAUGGCACCAGAUUUCCUUCCAAGAGGCCCCCACCUUUGCAUCCUCCAAGCCUUGCCUCCAGCCACACCUCUGUGCGGCACAGAGCCCCACUGCAGCAGACCCCUUGCAGCAAGCCUACGCUGGAGUGCAGCAGUACGCAGGUCCUGCUUAUCCUGCUGCUUAUGGCCAGAUUAGCCAAGCGUUCCCACAGCCACCUCCCAUGAUCCCACAGCAACAGAGAGAAGGACCAGAGGGCUGUAACCUGUUUAUCUACCAUCUGCCCCAGGAGUUUGGGGAUGCUGAGCUGAUGCAGAUGUUCCUGCCUUUCGGUAAUGUCAUCUCCUCGAAAGUGUUUGUGGAUCGGGCGACAAACCAAAGUAAAUGCUUUGGUUUUGUGAGUUUUGACAAUCCUGCCAGUGCCCAAGCUGCUAUCCAGGCCAUGAAUGGAUUCCAGAUUGGCAUGAAGAGGCUGAAGGUGCAGCUGAAGAGGCCAAAGGAUGCUAAUCGUCCCUACUGAAGAAUUGUGGGAACCAUUGGAUACAAAGCACUAGCACAGAGCCAGUCAAAUCCACCACAGUCUCGCGCUGAGCUAGGAAAAAAGUUCUCGUAAUGACAUGAAAGUGGAGAAUACAGUCCCCCAGGCCGGCAGCAGCUGAAUGGGCCACAUUUAGGAAAAAAAAAAAAAAAGUAUAUAUAUAUUAAAAAAAAAAAUCGUGAACUGUUGGAUUACACCUUUGACAUAUCAGCAAAUAUCAGUCAAGCUGAAGACUUCAGACCUAUUCUCUCUUUGAUUGUUUAGACUGUAACAUUUCUUCAAGAAAAGUAUCACAUCUGCUGACUUCGAAGGACAUGCGCUUGAAAACAAACAAACACAUAAGUAAAAUCAGAACAGGAGGAAGAUUCAACCGGGAUUUCUGAAGAGACACUGAUAUCACCACAGCGGCUUUUCUUCAAACAGGAGAUGCAAACCUGGAUUCUGGCAAAGGAGUGCCUGUUUGCCACCAAGGAUGCGGUUACCAUGCGAGAACCCGUGGUAACAGUCACUGAGCAUCUUUAUCUGUCAUUCCUUAGCUAUAUAGGGACCAAAGGACAAAACUUUUUACCGCAGACUUGUAGCUGUAUGUAAAAUAUGGAAGUUCUUUCCUUUUCUCUGAGCUGUUCCUAAAACAGUUUUUGAGAGCGAUUAUAUGAAAUAUGUAAAAUUAAAAAAAAAAAAUCAAAUGCUUAAAUGCUUUUAAAACGGCAAGAUAAUAGUUCUUUGAUACUUUGGGAGGUUCUUUGGUUAUACAUUAAUUAGAGUCUAUGAAGCUUUCAUAUGGUUUUCUGUAUAAUACGCAAGGAUUGCGUUGUUAAAGGCAGGUAAGAUGGAUAUCUAUGAAAAGCAAAAAAAAAGUAAAUAAAUAAAUACAUAAAUAAGUACAUAAAAAGGCAUAGAAAAAGAGAAAGGAAAGAUGGUUGAUAUUAAAUGGAAAACAAAAAGGUUUGUAAAUGCUUCUAACUCUCCCCAUUUAAAAUCCUAAUAGUUGUACAGAAUUUAAAAAAAGAAAGUUUAAAAUACCUAUAUAAUAGAAAAAAUUAGACAACAUAAAAAUAAAAAAAAAAAACAAAAAAAAGCAAAAAAAAAAUAAUACUACAUAGAAGUUAGCGUUAAUGCUAAAAACAAAGAUGUUGUAGAACUGUAAUUUUUGUAGAGUUUAGAUUGAGCAUAAAUUCCUACUCUCUGCCAAUUGCUGUUGGAUGCUGUUAUUUAUCGAGGAAAAAAAAGGAGAAAAAUGGCUAUUUUGGCAGCUUUUUUAACUGCAAGCAUUCCAGCUAUUAAAAAAUAAACAAGACAAGACUCAAUUCUGUAGACAAUGCAAAUGGGAAAAAAAAAACAGCUGUCUUUUUAUCAGACGUUAGUUCUAUCUUGAACAACAAAACACAGCUAAACGCUUCAUGUCUUCAUGAUCUGCUGUCCGCAAAAUUCCCAUCAUCCUAUGCUUCAGUAGCUUCCAUAUUUGCUCUAGAAACCUUCAGGGCAAGGGAUUAGCCUAGUACCUUAAUCUUAAAAAACAAAAAAAAAGAAAAAAAAAACCAAAAAAUCUUUAAAAAAGCUUAAAAAAAAAAAACAUAAAAAUAAACUAAAGAAACAAUCUCUUUGAAGAAUUUCUGAAACUGUUUACAAGGAAUUUUGAAAAACAGGGGGAUGUUUAAAAAAAAAAAAGAUGCUGGCUCUGUUUUCUGUAAAUAAAUUUGCAUAUUUUGUAGGACUUUUAAUUGUAAUGAUAGAGAAAAAACAAGGAAAACUAUUUAAUGAAAGCACGAUAUUUAUCUUUGGUAAAUGACUUUAGAGCAGUUAAAAAUAAGACAUUGCUUUAAAAAAUCUGACUCAGAAAAAACAAUGAAUUAUUUAAGAACACAUAUAUUUUAAAGUAUAUCAUAUUUAUUAUAAUUUAUUUUCACAGUCUUAAAACUUGAUUUACAUCAUUCUCACACUUGUUUGCAUCGAUUGAGCAGUGUGAUAAUUGUUUUUUGAUUAUUUAUUUGGUUUUACUCUUGUUUAAUAUUCUUGUUUCUUUCUCUCUGUAUUUUUUAUCUCAAUCUUGAACUUUUUUCUUUUUUUUUUUCUUUUUCCUUUUUUUUUUUUUUUGUUUCUGUUUUUGGUUUUGUUUUUUUAAGGUUAAUUUUGAUUAUAUAUUGGGCCGAACCGUGCAGUCCUUACUCUUCCAAAACUCUCAUGGGGAUAUAACGAGCAUUUUGCCAGAGUAAGGACUGAAGCAAACUGAGCCCACAGCUAGGAAGUACAGAUGUGUAACGCAGCUGCAGUUCCAUACAACUGCUCUUUCACUCUCAAUUCCCUAAAACUCCUUGUAAUCUUCUGUAAUUAUUGAAUGACGCUUUCCAGCUUAGCCCUAAAUAAAGCACAGUUUAAAAAAAAAAAAAAAAAAAAAAGCUGUGUUCUUUACUUCUUGAUGGCUUCCCUUAAUGUGUUUGCUUUGAGAACAAAAUGAAUCUAUUUCGACUCUUUCAUUAAUAUACAUUGUUUGAGUAUCAGAACAAAUCCCUUUGUUAUAUAAAACGUAUCUCAUUGGAUUGAAUUAAUGACACUGUUUCAUUUAA